rnacentral:tRNA from 1 species
GCAGGUCUAGCCUAGUGGCAGCGCCACACAUUUCUACUCAGUAGACCAGGGUUCCAAUCCCUGGCUACA